rnacentral:rRNA from 1 species
AAUAGAUACCCGGGUAGUCCACGCCGUAAACGAUGAGUGCUAAGUGUUAGAGGGUUUCCGCCCUUUAGUGCUGCAGCAAACGCAUUAAGCACUCCGCCUGGGGAGUACGGCCGCAAGGCUGAAACUCAAAGGAAUUGACGGGGGCCCGCACAAGCGGUGGAGCAUGUGGUUUAAUUCGAAGCAACGCGAAGAACCUUACCAGGUCUUGACAUCCUCUGCCACUCCUAGAGAUAGGAUUUUCCCCUUCGGGGGACAGAGUGACAGGUGGUGCAUGGUUGUCGUCAGCUCGUGUCGUGAGAUGUUGGGUUAAGUCCCGCAACGAGCGCAACCCUUGAUCUUAGUUGCCAGCAUUCAGUUGGGCACUCUAAGGUGACUGCCGGUGACAAACCGGAGGAAGGUGGGGAUGACGUCAAAUCAUCAUGCCCCUUAUGACCUGGGCUACACACGUGCUACAAUGGAUGGUACAAAGGGUCGCGAAACCGCGAGGUCGAGCCAAUCCCACAAAACCAUUCUCAGUUCGGAUUGCAGG